UCUGAUAACCAGAGGGCUAAGUCCCUGCAGCAACCAAACUGUGCACGAAGGCUGGAAUAUCUAACCAAUGUGAGGGGAAACUGAGGCAGCAGCUGGUCUGAAGGCAGUCUGGUUACAGUGGUGAAUUUUGAAUUGAAGACUCGAAAAAUGGACACAUUUUUUAAGAAAAGAGAUUCUGGCACCGCCAUAUCUACUUUCAGUGAUGAAGCUGACCAUGAAGUCGAACUGGAAGUGUUGGAGGUUGGGCAGAGGAGUGAAAGACCAGCUGGGAAACUGAGGCUGAGUGGCUCUUCUACUGCACAAUGCCACAAGGGAGUGCUCUGAUUAAGGAAUCAUCCAGACCUACUUGAAAGGAGCUUCUUGCCUCAACACUCUUGCCAGUUGCCAUCUCUGCUACAAGAGUCACAGAAAUCUGUUACAAUUCAGUAAACAUACAGCUUCUGUGAGAACAAUCCCAUGUUUCUGCCUCUUGCACACCUGCUCCUCAAAUUAUAGCAAACAGAAGUCAACGCCCAGGAUUUUUGCUGCCUGGACUACAGAAAAGUACGGUGUCCCAUUAAGGAGAUGGGACGCUCCCCUUUCUAUCGGCAUAAGACCCUUUCAGCACUGAUGGAUCAUGAGAGAAUCAAUCACUAGUCCUGAAAUGGCCAAUGUAUUUUUGGGACACGAAAUUCCUUCUUUUCUGAGGAAAUGAAGAAGAUAUUUCUCUGGCCUAUUUUAUUUUUUCAAACGGAAAAGGCAGUUGUCUCCAUUUUACAGCAUGGGGGUCAGGAGACUGGUGACUGUCCAGAAGAGGGAGGAGGCCUGGUUGAAAACUUUUUAAAACGUCUUUUUAGAAGCAGGGAGACAUCCCCGAACAAAGUCACAGUCGCUAAAGAAGAGACAGUCAAGACACUGCAGCAAUCCUUUUAUGAGAGGCAACACAGCAUCAGAUAGAAAGCAUUUGAAACAUCUAAAGAAAUCAGAGAUUUCCUUUCAAACAUCAAGUGGAUGGACUGAGCUGACACCAAUUAUGAUGUUCAAUGGUAUUAGCAGAAUGGCUUAAAUUUUGUCCUCAACUGUUCAUCCCGCCAACGAGCAAUAAGGAGUUAACAAAAACAGAUGUUUUGCAUUGUUCUUUGGCUAUUUUGAAAGAACUUCCUGUGCCAAGAUUUUCUGAUAACUUCUGAAUGGAUUUGGAAGGGCAGCCAAAAAAGCCUUUGCUUGCUUUCUUCAUAAGGAGAAACAAUUAAAGACCACUAACAGUUCCCCAUAAAGUACAUAUGAGUGUGAAUUAAAAUCCUAGGUAAGUGCAGUUUGCCUGAAUAAAAACACUUCACUGGGGUUUUAAGGAUUUAUUUUUUCCUAUUAAAAAUAUACAGACCUUUAAAGCCAUGCUGGGACUUUCUGAAACAUCUAGAACAACUGAGGAGUCCCCUGACCAAAUGGUAAUCAUUCCCUCUACGGGAACUCCAAACGAGAAGAAGGUUGACAAAUAUUCUAUGAAUUUUAAGAUAAAACCAUUACUUUUUAGCUUUGACUUCAUUUUAGUAAAUCACUAAUGCUCCAUAGUCUGCUAUGCAGAGUUAAAUAGCA